AUGGUUAAAGAUCUCUUAGAUGAUGAUUUAGAUGGGCAUGUUAUUUAUUUCUGUGGUGAGACUGCUAAUAUUGCUAGACCCGAUACUAAGAUACAUAAACAUGUUGUAGGCAUGCCUGUUAUUUCUGUUAAAAUAGGAGACCAUUGUUAUUAUGGCUUAUGUGAUAUGGGUGCUAGUGCUAGUGCAAUACCUAUUUCCUUAUACAAUGAGAUUAUGCAUGAUAUUGCACCCUCUGAGUUAGAAGAUAUUGAUGUCACUAUUAAACUUGCCAAUAGAGAUAUUAUUACACCAUUUGGGAUUGUUAGAGAUGUUGAAGUCUUAUGUGGGAAACUUAAAUAUUCUGCUGAUUUUAUUGUUCUUGGUUCCCCACAAGAUGACUUUUGUCCCAUUAUAUUUGGUAGACCUUUCUUAAACACUGUUAAUGCUAAGUUGAUUGUGAAAAGGAUGUUGUUACAAUUGGCUUGGGGGAUAUGA
rnacentral:rRNA from 1 species